CCCCAGUGUGCCCAUUCACCGUGGAGGAUGGGGGGCCAAGGCAGGCAAGGAAGCAGGGACGGGACCACCCAGUGUGUCAGCCAAUCUCGGACCGGGGGCCAGUGCAGAAAAGGGGGCAGGUGUUGCUGGAGGCCCUUAUGAUGGACAGAGUCCGAGCGCUGGACUACCUGCCGGAGACAAG